CCCUUAGAUGUUCUGGGCCGCACGCGCGCUACCCUGAUGCAUUCAACGAGUUUCUUCCUGGUCCGAGAGGAAUGGGUAACCUUUUGAAAGUGCAUCGUGAUAGGGAUAGACUAUUGCAAUUAUUGGUCUUCAACGAGGAAUUCCUAGUAGACGUAGUUCAUCAGACUGCAUCGAUUACGUCCCUGCCCUUUGUACACACCGCCCGUCGCUCCUACCGAUUGAAUGCUCAGGUGAGCCAUUCGGACUUUCAUCAUGCUGGUUUCCAGUUUUGAUGAAGGAAAGUCUUGCGAACCUUAUCAUUUAGAGGAAGGAGAAGUCGUAACA
rnacentral:rRNA from 1 species